GGGUUGUGAGGUUAAGCGACUAAGCGUACACGGUGGAUGCCCUGGCAGUCAGAGGCGAUGAAGGGCGUGCUAAUCUGCGAUAAGCGCCGGUAAGGUGAUAUGAACCGUUAUAACCGGCGAUACCCGAAUGGGGAAACCCAGUGUGAUUCGUCACACUAUCAUUAACUGAAUCCAUAGGUUAAUGAGGCGAACCGGGGGAACUGAAACAUCUAAGUACCCCGAGGAAAAGAAAUCAACCGAGAUUCCCCCAGUAGCGGCGAGCGAACGGGGAGGAGCCCAGAGCCUGAAUCAGCAUGUGUGUUAGUGGAAGCGUCUGGAAAGGUGCGCGAUACAGGGUGACAGCCCCGUACACAAAAGCGCAUGUGCUGUGAGCUCGAUGAGUAGGGCGGGACACGUGGUAUCCUGUCUGAAUAUGGGGGGACCAUCCUCCAAGGCUAAAUACUCCUGACUGACCGAUAGUGAACCAGUACCGUGAGGGAAAGGCGAAAAGAACCCCGGCGAGGGGAGUGAAAAAGAACCUGAAACCGUGUACGUACAAGCAGUGGGAGCACCCUUCGGGGUGUGACUGCGUACCUUUUGUAUAAUGGGUCAGCGACUUAUAUUCUGUAGCAAGGUUAACCGUAUAGGGGAGCCGGAGGGAAACCGAGUCUUAAUUGGGCGUUAAGUUGCAGGGUAUAGACCCGAAACCCGGUGAUCUAGCCAUGGGCAGGUUGAAGGUUGGGUAACACUAACUGGAGGACCGAACCGACUAAUGUUGAAAAAUUAGCGGAUGACCUGUGGCUGGGGGUGAAAGGCCAAUCAAACCGGGAGAUAGCUGGUUCUCCCCGAAAGCUAUUUAGGUAGCGCCUCGUGAAUUCAUCUCCGGGGGUAGAGCACUGUUUCGGCUAGGGGGCCAUCCCGGCUUACCAACCCGAUGCAAACUGCGAAUACCGGAGAAUGUUAUCACGGGAGACACACGGCGGGUGCUAACGUCCGUCGUGAAGAGGGAAACAACCCAGACCGCCAGCUAAGGUCCCAAAGUCAUGGUUAAGUGGGAAACGAUGUGGGAAGGCCCAGACAGCCAGGAUGUUGGCUUAGAAGCAGCCAUCAUUUAAAGAAAGCGUAAUAGCUCACUGGUCGAGUCGGCCUGCGCGGAAGAUGUAACGGGGCUAAACCAUGCACCGAAGCUGCGGCAGCGAACGUAUCACCCAAGACAACUUUACGGAGUUGACGAUUGACGGAGCGAAGCGACGUCAAAGCGUUCAUUAAAGUCGAGUUGGCUUAGGGAUACGUUCGUUGGGUAGGGGAGCGUUCUGUAAGCCUGUGAAGGUGUGUCGUGAGGCAUGCUGGAGGUAUCAGAAGUGCGAAUGCUGACAUAAGUAACGAUAAAGCGGGUGAAAAGCCCGCUCGCCGGAAGACCAAGGGUUCCUGUCCAACGUUAAUCGGGGCAGGGUGAGUCGACCCCUAAGGCGAGGCCGAAAGGCGUAGUCGAUGGGAAACGGGUUAAUAUUCCCGUACUUGGUGUUACUGCGAAGGGGGGACGGAGAAGGCUAUGUUGGCCGGGCGACGGUUGUCCCGGUUUAAGCGUGUAGGUGUGUGUUCCAGGUAAAUCCGGUUCACUUUAACACUGAGGCGUGACGACGAGGCACUACGGUGCUGAAGCAACAAAUGCCCUGCUUCCAGGAAAAGCCUCUAAGCAUCAGGUAACACGAAAUCGUACCCCAAACCGACACAGGUGGUCAGGUAGAGAAUACCAAGGCGCUUGAGAGAACUCGGGUGAAGGAACUAGGCAAAAUGGUGCCGUAACUUCGGGAGAAGGCACGCUGACACGUAGGUGAAGUGAUUUACUCAUGGAGCUGAAGUCAGUCGAAGAUACCAGCUGGCUGCAACUGUUUAUUAAAAACACAGCACUGUGCAAACACGAAAGUGGACGUAUACGGUGUGACGCCUGCCCGGUGCCGGAAGGUUAAUUGAUGGGGUCAGCGCAAGCGAAGCUCCUGAUCGAAGCCCCGGUAAACGGCGGCCGUAACUAUAACGGUCCUAAGGUAGCGAAAUUCCUUGUCGGGUAAGUUCCGACCUGCACGAAUGGCGUAAUGAUGGCCAGGCUGUCUCCACCCGAGACUCAGUGAAAUUGAACUCGCUGUGAAGAUGCAGUGUACCCGCGGCAAGACGGAAAGACCCCGUGAACCUUUACUAUAGCUUGACACUGAACAUUGAGCCUUGAUGUGUAGGAUAGGUGGGAGGCUUUGAAGUGUGGACGCCAGUCUGCAUGGAGCCGACCUUGAAAUACCACCCUUUAAUGUUUGAUGUUCUAACGUGGACCCGUAAUCCGGGUUGCGGACAGUGUCUGGUGGGUAGUUUGACUGGGGCGGUCUCCUCCUAAAGAGUAACGGAGGAGCACGAAGGUUGGCUAAUCCUGGUCGGACAUCAGGAGGUUAGUGCAAUGGCAUAAGCCAGCUUGACUGCGAGCGUGACGGCGCGAGCAGGUGCGAAAGCAGGUCAUAGUGAUCCGGUGGUUCUGAAUGGAAGGGCCAUCGCUCAACGGAUAAAAGGUACUCCGGGGAUAACAGGCUGAUACCGCCCAAGAGUUCAUAUCGACGGCGGUGUUUGGCACCUCGAUGUCGGCUCAUCACAUCCUGGGGCUGAAGUAGGUCCCAAGGGUAUGGCUGUUCGCCAUUUAAAGUGGUACGCGAGCUGGGUUUAGAACGUCGUGAGACAGUUCGGUCCCUAUCUGCCGUGGGCGCUGGAGAACUGAGGGGGGCUGCUCCUAGUACGAGAGGACCGGAGUGGACGCAUCACUGGUGUUCGGGUUGUCAUGCCAAUGGCACUGCCCGGUAGCUAAAUGCGGAAGAGAUAAGUGCUGAAAGCAUCUAAGCACGAAACUUGCCCCGAGAUGAGUUCUCCCUGAGACUUAGAGUCUCCUGAAGGAACGUUGAAGACGACGACGUUGAUAGGCCGGGUGUGUAAGCGCAGCGAUGCGUUGAGCUAACCGGUACUAAUGAACCGUGAGGCUUAACCUUACAACGCCGAAG
rnacentral:rRNA from 3 species